rnacentral:sRNA from 1 species
AUGUUUCUGCGUAAGCUUAUUUCAGGAACUAAGGAUUGGGAUGAGCCGUUACCGGAAGAACAUCGUACAGAGUGGGAAACAUGGCGAGACUCAUUAAAAGAUCUCCGAUGUUUACAAAUUCCGCGUACAUAUGCAACGGAAGGAUUGUCAGCAGCUGUAAAGAAAGAGCUACACAUUUUUUGCGACGCAUCUGAACAAGUUAUAGCUGCAGUUGCUUAUUUGAGAACAGAGUCUAGUAGUGCAGUCACGGAAGUCAAGUUUGUCAUUGGAAAGGCUAAAGUGUCACCGAUACACAGCCAUACUAUUCCCCGCCUAGAAUUGUGCGCGGCUGUUCUAGCGACUGAACUGUAUGCAAUAAUUAAGAAUCAGCUAGACACAUAUAUCGACAAAGCUGUAUUCUAUUCGGAUAGUAAAGUGGUAUUGGGAUAUAUCCACAACCAAAGUAGAAGAUUUUUCAAGUACGUCAGUAAUAGAGUGGAACGGAUCAGGAGUGUGUCGGCGCCUGAUCAAUGGACUUAUAUUCGCACGGACUUAAACCCUGCAGACUAUGCUACUAGGCCUUCACAUGCCUCGCAGAUCAAGAACAGUUCCUGGCUGAUUGGACCAGAUUUUUUGACUAGGAAGGAUUUAGAUAAAGGAACUUCAUCACAGCACAUUAUACCAGACUUUCCGUUGGAAAAUACAGACACUGAUAAAGAGAUAAGACCAUUAGUUACAGUUAGCAAAACGAAUGUAAAUGACAUUGCAAAACUAGGAUCGAAUCGCUUCGAAAGAUUUUCAUCAUGGAUGGCAUUAGUCAGAGCAAUCGCAAGACUGAAGCACUUUCUUUCAACCGUUUUCUCAGGAACCUUUCAUGGAUGGCAUAGUUGUGUAGACUGCAAAUCCGUUCAUAACUUUGAAGAAGCUCAGAAAUUCAUUAUCCGUGUCGUUCAACGUGAAGCAUACGAUAGUGAACUUUCUUGUCUAAAGGAAAAUUUGUGUGUGUCUAAGACCAGUUCAAUACUUACCUUGAAUCCUGUUCUUGACAAUGAUGGAUUACUUCGUGUAGGAGGCAGACUGAGUAGGGCUGAUAUCAGUUCUAAUGAAAAGAAUCCCAUUAUUAUACCAGGAAAGCACUAUCUUGCUACCCUUAUAGUUAGAUAUUGUCACGAGUUGGUCUUCCAUCAAGGGAGACACUUCACCGAAGGUGCUGUACGAAGCGCUGGAUUUUGGAUAGUUGGAGGAAAGCGAGUCAUAUCGUCUGUAAUUUUUCAAUGUUUCAAAUGCCGCAAACUUCGAGCAAGAGUGCAAAUUCAACAAAUGUCAGACCUACCAGUAGACCGUCUCACGCCAGCUUCUCCGUUUACGUUCGUUGGCUUGGAUGUAUUUGGCCCUUGGAGUGUAGUAGCAAGACGAACAAGAGGAGGUUUAUCUCAUAAUAAAUGUUGGGCGGUUCUUUUCACCUGUUUGACCAUACGAGCUAUACAUAUAGAAGUGAUUAAUGACAUGAGUUCUUCUUCGUUCAUAAAUGCGCUAAGGAGAUUUAUUGCUAUUCGUGGACAUGUCAAGGUAUUUCGCUCAGACAAUGGAACGAAUUUUGUCGGAUCAACAAAUAGUUUGAAAAUAGAUGUCAUAAAUAUUGAACAUGGCCCAGUGAAAGAUUUUCUGCUUACAAAGGGAAGUGUUUGGAUUUUCAACCCGCCACACUCCUCACACAUGGGAGGAGUGUGGGAAAGGAUGAUAGGGACAACUAGAAGAAUCUUGGAUUCAAUUAUGUUGGAAACAAAAGCAAAGGAUAUAACCAUAGAAGUUAUAACUACUCUGAUGGCUGAAGUAUGUAGCAUUGUUAACGCUCGCCCGAUUGUUUCAGUUUCAAGUGAUCCCGAGUCUCCAGAAAUCUUGUCACCAUCAGCUCUAUUGACUCACAAGACGGAAUCGGCGGAUGACUCCUUCAGCAACCUUGACAUCACCGACAUGUACAAGGCCCAAUGGAAACGGGUUCAAGUGAUGGCUGAAAUGUUCUGGAAUAAGUGGCGACGGGAGUAUCUACAGACACUACAAACUAGGCGCAAAUGGCAAUCUGCUACUCCGAAUCUUUCAGAAAACGAUGUUGUCCUUCUUAAGGAUAAAAGCGCCCAUAGGAAUGAAUGGCCAGUCGGAAUAGUAACGCACAUCUUUCCGAGUGAAGAUAAGAUGGUAAGAAAAACUGAAGUUCGAAUUAUGAAGGAUGGAAAACAAACGACUUACCUGCGUCCGAUUACUGAAUUGGUGUUACUGCAUUCUGCAUCUCAGUGAAACGUACAUUUAGGCAUAGGAUUAAUGGACAAGUGUAUAUAUUCUUUAUCUUUUCUUUGAAUAGUGAUAUCUGGGUGAUAUCAGAAGGGGAGUGUGCUGUCUCCGUUGUUAAACGUGCUGACCGUACUGUGAAUUACCUGAGCAUUUGGAGUUGUCUCCCAUUUACUUACUUUCGUUUUUGUUUACAUCAUGGACACCACAUGGAAAUUUGUUGCUAUAUGUCAGCACAGUGUAAGUAAUAUACGACAUCAUACAUUUAUUUGAACUUCUCUUAUAUGGACAACAUCGGUCAUAUGCAUAAUCGGUAUAAAUUAUGCUUCCAAUGGACCAGGCAACCGAAAUGCUACCGUUCAGCAGCCGACCUACUUUGAACCUACGAAAACUUACCACAAACUAUUACCGGAGUAUACUUACCUUAUAAACAGUCCUACACAUUGAUUUAUUAUACUUACCUGAACUAUUUACCCGAUUUUUUGUGAAAUAUUGUGACACAGUGGAACUCUGUUGAAAAAACAAUCUAUGGAACGCCA